UACGUAGGGGGCAAGCGUUGUCCGGAAUCAUUGGGCGUAAAGAGCGUGUAGGCGGCCUGAUAAGUCCGCUGUGAAAGUCAAAGGCUCAACCUUUGAAUGCCGGUGGAUACUGUCGGGCUAGAGUCCGGAAGAGGCGAGUGGAACUCCUGGUGUAGCGGUGGAAUGCGCAGAUAUCAGGAAGAACACCGAUAGCGAAGGCAGCUCGCUGGGACGGUACUGACGCUGAGGCGCGAAAGCGUGGGGAGCGAACAGG
rnacentral:rRNA from 1 species